UUUUGUGCUACUUUCUCUAGGAAAUAGAGGAUCUUCGGAAACAGGGUGAAAUCAUACCAGAGUUGAUGACAGAAUGUGAAACAGUCUCUGAGAAAUUGCAGGCUGCUGAGAAAAGGAAUAAAGACCUGGAAGAGAAAGUCAGAGCUCUAAGGACAGAGGUGGAAGAGAGCAAACACAGACAAAACAACCUUAAGACUGAGUUACAGACUUUUUUAGACGUACUAGAUGGAAAGAUUGAUGAAUUGCAUGACUUCCGGCAAGGACUAUCUAAACUGGGAGUUGAUAACUAGGGAAUAGCAACAUAUAUCUUUUUGUAAACUAACAUUGGGUGGGUGUGCAUUUUAAUCCUAAAUGUCUGUUCCACAAAAAAAAUAACCAGAGUAUUCUUCUUGUUUGCAAUGUGAUUUGUACAUAGAAUUUAAAGAUUUAAUGGUUCUCUCCCCCACUACCCAUUCUUCCUUUUCUUUCUUUCUUUCCAAAAAUUGUUGUUGACUUUUCUUUUUUAAGGUAGAGCUUUGUUUAUCUUCCUGCUUCUGGACUUUGAGGGUUUGGGAACAGGUGGGGGAGGGUUCUUGCCUCAGGAAAAUGGAACUAGACCUACCUUAAAAUGAAUAUGCAUUAGUUGUUGCAGGGAAAUUUCUAUCUUAAGGGCUGCUGCAACCAUAGAAACAGGAAGCGAGCCUUUUCCUAAUCUUGAUUAUCAAGCCCUGUGCAGUUUUAUUUGUGUGUGUGUGUGUAACAGACCACAGUGAAGAUGAGAGAAGAUGCUUGCAAUUUGUCCAUGGGCUUGAAAAAGAAAAAUGCACUUGGGAGCAGCCAUUGGCAGGUAGAGAAAUAUUCUUUUAGUAGAUGCUCAAAGUAGAGGAUCAAAUUGUGAAGCCUCAUUUGAAGAAUUCAGUGGUGGCUUUUUAUUUAAUAAUAAAAAAAAUACCCACGAGGCCUUUUCAUACAGAA